AGAUUUCAUGGGAAGAGACCUGAUGAUGCCAGUCCUAUCAGCCACCUUCUGUUCCAUCAAGCUCUGAAGAGGUGUGAGCAGGGUGGAAGGUGGAAAAUGCAUCUUCUGAGCCGAAGACGAAGCUGAGACGAAGUUCACACCUGAGUGUAAUCAACCUCCUACCUUUGGCAGUAAAAACUGGAAAAGAGCCAAGAGUCUCAGCUGAAGGACCGACGCUGCCCACAACGCGUUCCUGCUGGCGUUUUACUGAAGUAUGGGUGUAUCCUGAGACAGAACAUGGAAUAUCCCAAAAUAUGCUUCAGUAAGAGGUGUGGAGUUAACAAAAAAAAAAUCUCCCAGAUGCAUCAGCUCUCAGGAAGCGUUCAUGGAAUUUACUGAUGUCGACAAGUAGGUGAGGACAGGCACUG